rnacentral:rRNA from 1 species
UAACGAAUCUUCCGCAAUGCGCGAAAGCGUGACGGAGCAAUGCCGCGUGCAGGAUGAAGCCCCUCGGGGUGUAAACUGCUGUCAGGGUUUAGAAAGAAAGUGAUCAAACCCAAAGGAAGAGGCGACUAACUCUGUGCCAGCAGUCGCGGUAAUACAGAGGCCUCGAGCGUUAAUCGGAAUCACUGGGCUUAAAGCGUACGUAGGCGGUCCCUCAGGCAUCGUGUGAAAUCCCGCGGCUCAACCGCGGAAC